AUGUACACAAUCCUUCUUACCAAAGUCAAAGAUAAUGUCAGCACUCUUUGUGGAACUGAAACGUCUUCACCAAUUUCACUCGCAAUGUUUCUUUGGCAAUGAUGCAAAACAGAUCUGUUGUUGUCUGCCCAGCCAAAUUAGCUAGUAUGUUAGCGUAGCACUUUCGGUCCGUGAUUUCAAUUCGUCAGACUAAGGUUACCUACUAACGUUAGUUCCUAAAAUUCAGCAAUUAAAAAAUAUGCACGUUCGAAAUUGAUUUAUCGUACAACCUUUUAUCGAAAAACUGCUUCUGCCGAUUAAAUGAGACGACAUUAAAUCCAAAUAUCCGUCUGAUUUGGAUUUCAGCGGCAUCCCUUUUGACCAAUUUAAUUUGACAGAGAUUAGCUAGCUAACGUUAGUACGGUUUCUGUCCGAUCAAGUCGCCUUUUCUAACCGAUUUUGCACUUCUGUCUAUUUCUUUAUGUCCCUGUGCUAUUUGUCGUUAGCCAGACCGAUUACUUGAAAGUUAAACACAACAGUAACGAUGAAAACCGAAUAAAUCCACUGUACUCGACCCGGUCCGUCUAUCGUCCGUUCAUUUGUUAUUUGAUUCAAAAGACGACAGAGAAUAAAUGGACUCAUUUUCGUUUUUGGUUUCUGAAUUUGAAAAACUAAUAUUGACUUGUUUCUCAUUUAUUGUGUAAAAAACGGGACAUGGAAUUACAGAAAACAAAUUUAAAAAAAUAUUAUAUUUUAAUUUCAUGCCAAUAGAACAAACUCAACAACAACUGAACAAAGUUGGCUUGCACUAGCUGGCUACUACUGACUAGCUAGCAGUCUGGUGAGCUAGCCCUACCUGGCUACUGGCUGUAGUCAUACUAGCUAGUGUAAGUAAGUUAGUCCCUUCACAUGCUACAAGAUGAAUGCCCGGACAGAGUUACCUGCUGAAGAAAGGACCUUUCACAUAGUUCAGUCACUCAGCCUUAUACAGUGGACGUGAUACUCUCAAGAUCCUGCACUACUGCCUCCCACAACACCAUGAGGAGAAGCAAUAAGCCUGGCCCCAUGACUGCCUGUAUGAGGGACAACUGGAUAGAAGGCUUGGACUUCAUCUGAGACCUUCAUCUCCUUCCCCAUCCUUCAAGGAAAGCUUUUCUUUAUAUUUCCUGUUAGGCAUGAUGCAGCUUCCGGGUAUGCUGGGAUAAGGACCAGAGCUACAGCAAUCGGGCUGGCUUUGUAGUGCCUGUCCCGAAUGGCUCGUUUAUGGGAAUGGGCGUAUUGGAAGACACCAUGUCAGUAGUGACGGGAUUUUGUAAAUGUGUUAUAUUGUGUUAUAUUGUAUCAUUAUAAAUGGAUUGCAAAGGUGCAAUGUAUCUAAUUCAUGAUAUGUUUAGCUGAGUGAAAAUGUAGGCUUGGAUGUUGGUAUUUGCUUAAUUAAUUAAAGUGUUUGGUAUGUUCUGAUGGGAGGGGCUUCCCCUACAAAAGGAGCCUCUAUUUCAGUUCAAAGGGGAAUUAUUUUGAUUGAGCUGUUGAUGCUUUUGUUGGCAGUACUGUUUUUUCCCCCAGAAUCACUAUGUAAAUAAACACUUGCACAGAAGUA